GGCUCCUUGCUAAACAUAUAUAAGGAGUCGGACCUGCCCAGUGAAAAGUUUUAACGGCCGCGGUACUCUGACCGUGCAAAGGUAGCAUAAUCACUUGCCUUAUAAUUGAAGGCUAGCAUGAAUGGUUUGACGAGAGCGUUUCUGUCUCUAUCCUGUUUUAUAGAACUUAACCUUCAGGUGAAGAGGCCUGCCUAAUAUUGAAGGACGAGAAGACCCUGUCGAGCUUUAAGAGAAAAAGGAAAACUAUAUAUUUAUAGAUACAAGACCUUUUUUAUCUUUUGGUUGGGGCGACUAGGGAACAAUUAAAGCUUCCCUUAUUCUUAAAACUUUUUUGUUAGGAUCCAGCAUUACUUUGCUGAUUAAAAGAAUUAGUUACCGCAGGGAUAACAGCAUAAUCCUUCUUGAGAGAUCUUAUCGAAAGAAGGGGUUGUGACCUCGAUGUUGGACUAGGAUAUCCUAAGGGUGCAGAAGCCUUCAAGGGUUGGUCUGUUCGACCAUUAAAAUCCUACGUGAUCUGA
rnacentral:rRNA from 1 species